rnacentral:tRNA from 1 species
GUCUGAAUAGCUCAGUGGUUAGAGCAAAAGAUUGAAAAUCUUUGGGUCAGUGGUUCAAAUCCACUUUUAGACA